rnacentral:rRNA from 2 species
AGGAUCUAUGAGAGGGCAAGUCUGGUGCCAGCAGCCGCGGUAAUUCCAGCUCUCAAAGUGUAUAUCGUCAUUGCUGCGGUUAAAAAGCUCGUAGUUGGAUCUGCGUCUCAGGAUCUGGUCCAUCCAUUGGAUGAGAACUAGGCUCCUAGACUAAUAUUGCCAGUUUUCUAUACGUUACCUUGAUUGGUUGCGUAUAGUGGCUAGCAAGUUUACCUUGAAAAAAUUAGAGUGCUCAAUGCGGGCUAAUGCCUGAAUACUCGUGCAUGGAAUAAUGAAAUAGGAUCUCGGUUCUAUUUUGUUGGUUUUCUGAUCUGAGAUAAUGGUUAAGAGGGACGGACGGGGGCAUUCGUAUCGCUGCGUGAGAGGUGAAAUUCUUGGACCGUAGCGAGACGUACGACUGCGAAAGCAUUUGCCAAGAAUGUCUUCAUUAAUCAAGAACGAAAGUCAGAGGUUCGAAGGCGAUCAGAUACCGCC